rnacentral:rRNA from 1 species
CCUACGGGUGGCUGCAGUCGGGAAUAUUGCACAAUGGAGGAAACUCUGACGCAGUGACGCCGCGUGCAGGAAGAAGGUUUUCGGAUUGUAAACUGCUUUCGACAGGGACGAAAGAAGACAGUACCUGUCGAAUACGCUCCGGCUAACUACGUGCCAGCAGCAGCGGUAAUACGUAGGGAGCAAGCGUUAUCCGGAUUUAUUGGGUGUAAAGGGUGCGUAGACGGAGAAGCAAGUUAGUUGUGAAAUCCCUCGGCUUAACUGAGGAACUGCAACUAAAACUACUUCCCUUGAGUACUGGAGAGGGAAGUAGAAUUCCUAGUGUAGCGGUGAAAUGCGUAGAGAUUAGGAGGAACACCAGUGGCGAAGGCGACUUUCUGGACAGUAACUGACGCUGAGGCACGAAAGUGUGGGGAGCAAACAGGAUUAGAUACCCUGGUAGUC